rnacentral:rRNA from 1 species
ACGCUAGCGGCAGGCCUAACACAUGCAGUCGAGGGGUAACGAUGGCUCGGCCAGGCGACGACGGCGCACGGGUGAGUAUCGCGUUGUACCUACCUCUGACUGGAGGAUAGCCCGAAGAAAUUCGGAUUAAUACUCCAUAAUACUAUGGACAGGCAUCUGUUCAUGGUUAAAGCCCCGGCGGUCAGAGAUGGGCAUGCGUGACAUUAGCUUGUUGGUGAGGUAACAGCUCACCAAGGCUACGAUGUCUAGGGGGUCUGAGAGGAUGGUCCCCCACACUGGUACUGAGACACGGACCAGACUCCUACGGGAGGCAGCAGUGAGGAAUAUUGGUCAAUGGGCGAAAGCCUGAACCAGCCAUGCCACGUGAAGGAUGACAGCCCUAUGGGUUGUAAACUUCUUUUGUACGGGAAGAAACGCCUCUACGUGUAGAGGUUUGACGGUACCGUACGAAUAAGCAUCGGCUAACUCCGUGCCAGCAGCCGCGGUAAUACGGAGGAUGCAAGCGUUAUCCGGAUUUAUUGGGUUUAAAGGGUACGUAGGCGGGAGCUUAAGUCAGUGGUGAAAUCCUGCAGCUUAACUGUAGAACUGUCAUUGAUACUGGGCUUCUUGAAUGUAGUUGAGGUAGGCGGAAUGUGUAAUGUAGCGGUGAAAUGCUUAGAUAUUACACAGAACACCGAUUGCGAAGGCAGCUUACUAAACUACGAUUGACGCUGAGGUACGAAAGCGUGGGGAGCGAACAGGAUUAGAUACCCUGGUAGUCCACGCUGUAAACGAUGAUCACUCGUUGUUGGCAAUACACCGUCAGCGACUGAGCGAAAGCAUUAAGUGAUCCACCUGGGGAGUACG